rnacentral:rRNA from 1 species
GAUGAACGCUGGCGGCGUGCCUAAUACAUGCAAGUCGAGCGAACAGACGAGGAGCUUGCUCCUUUGACGUUAGCGGCGGACGGGUGAGUAACGCGUAGGUAACCUACCUAUAAGACUGGGAUAACUUCGGGAAACCGGAGCUAAUACCGGAUAAUAUUUCGAACCGCAUGGUUCGAUAGUGAAAGAUGGCUUUGCUAUCACUUAUAGAUGGACCUGCGCCGUAUUAGCUAGUUGGUAAGGUAACGGCUUACCAAGGCAACGAUACGUAGCCGACCUGAGAGGGUGAUCGGCCACACUGGAACUGAGACACGGUCCAGACCCCUACGGGAGGCAGCAGUAGGGAAUCUUCCGCAAUGGGCGAAAGCCUGACGGAGCAACGCCGCGUGAGUGAUGAAGGUCUUCGGAUCGUAAAACUCUGUUAUUAGGGAAGAACAAACGUGUAAGUAACUGUGCACGUCUUGACGGUACCUAAUCAGAAAGCCACGGCUAACUACGUG